UGAGGAAUAUUGCACAAUGGGGGAAACCCUGAUGCAGCGACGCCGCGUGAAGGAUGAAGUAUUUCGGUAUGUAAACUUCUAUCGGCAGGGAAGAAAAUGACGGUACCUGACUAAGAAGCCCCGGCUAACUACGUGCCAGCAGCCGCGGUAAUACGUAGGGGGCAAGCGUUAUCCGGAUUUACUGGGUGUAAAGGGAGCGUAGACGGCAUGGCAAGUCUGAAGUGAAAGCCCGGGGCUCAACCCCGGGACUGCUUUGGAAACUGCCGGGCUUGAGUGCCGGAGGGGUAAGCGGAAUUCCUAGUGUAGCGGUGAAAUGCGUAGAUAUUAGGAGGAACACCAGUGGCGAAGGCGGCUUACUGGACGGUAACUGACGUUGAGGCUCGAAAGCGUGGGGAGCAAACAGGAUUAGAUACC
rnacentral:rRNA from 1 species